ACAGCGGGCAGGCUGGAAUCCACAGGACUUUGUUUUGUUCUUGAUUGACCAUUGCCAAGAUCUGAGUGCAAAUGCUCGACAGGGCUCCUCCCUGGAUGACCCCUGCAAGAGAGCCCCCAAACACAUCAUUGAGUUCAGAGCUUCGUGGGCCCCUGUAACAGGGAUGACCAGGAUCUGCCCACUCACGCCAACUGCACACUCUCACCGCAUGCCCUGGGUGGGGCUUGCCUAGUCUUGCAAUGUGGAGCCUGGCACAUGGGAAAGCAGUUUGGGGCUCUGUUGCGAUGGUUCAAUCAGCAGCAGGAUUCUCCAGAAACAAGAAUAAGUUUAAGGAGCCGGGGCAUCCCCAUAGGCCAGUGAAGACUCCCAGGCAAGAUGAUGAUACGUCCCCAGCUAUGGCCAGCCCUGCCCUGCAGGCUUUCAACACCAGAGGUCCCGUAGACACUAGCCCAGAGCUCUCAGUGUGCUCCAUGGAACAGCACCGGUAGACAAAACGGUCCCCGGCCACUUCCCACAGGUAUGGACAGAAAUAGACAGGGAGCAUUUAGAAACUGCUGUCGAACUGUGACAAGAGUAAUUUUAUGUCUGUUGAAACUAAGAGAAGAAAGUCAAAGGUUAUAUUUUGUAAGUUUUGGAGUUUUAAAUUUUCAUUUCUCUAGUAAUUACUAACCUAUUUGACUAAAUACUGGUCUGUGACAGAUUGGAGAUUGAAACUCCCAUACACAUACAUAGAAGCUCCGAGUCUGGUUUUUGAGACCCACUGUUUUGCACAAGAAACACGAAACCAGAUCACAACAGUCCCUACAAGUGAAUUAGAAUCACGGUCCUUGCCUCUGCGAGCCCAGUGUUCAUUAACCCCACCACAAACGACUGGUUUCAUCAGAGGUUGAAAGCCACAAAGUGAAGUGCUUCUUUCGGUUUAUGGUGCUUCGAAGAUCAAAGCCGGUAAGAGUGCAGUGCCCUGAAGGGUGUGAAGGGCAGAUGGCCGCAGCCACCAACUAGAAUGCUGGAGCUCUACACUCGGCACCUGUGCUGUGAGAUGAACUUGUUGCUGCCUGGGUAAAAGUCCGGGUGCACAAGGCCAGACCACACCUACCUGUGAAGUAUCUACUGUACUCCUGUUCGAUCUUCUGAGCCGUCUCGAACUGCUCUUUGGAAUGCCUCUGAGUCACCUUGUCCUUCAGGUAGAUGGGGUCUCUCUGCUCCCUAUCAGACAUCCAGAGAAGCAGGCUGAGUCUCCUGCCUCCCCGGGCCCUCCGCCUUCCCGAGUAACAGGGCCUCUGUCAACAGGGCCCCAUGCGCUCCUCUGGUAAAGCACAGCGACAGCCUGUAGGCCCCAUGGAGUGCUCUGGGCAGUAGCGGGCAGGUGGGUGCCCCACUGCAGGCACACAGAGAACAGACCCCCCUGCCCCCCAGCUGGUCCCCAGGUGCAGGAACCGGAAGCUUAGAAGCACAGAAAGGCAAAAUGGAGGGGAGGGCUUGACGAGCUGUCAGCCCAACCAGUGUGAAAACUAAAGCUCAGUGAAAACAAAGGCUCAUCCAUGACCCAAGCCAGCUCCUAGCAGACCUGGAUCCAGCCCAGGUCAGCUAGUCACCGUGUCCUCGUGAGCACCAAGCUGAGAGACGAAAGGGCAAAGAGGGGUGGGAUGCCCAGGAAGCAGAGCAGACAAAGCCGCAUAUACUCCGGGAACAGUGGCAGCAACCAGAGAGGGCAAAGGUGCAGUGGGAGGAGGGCUGUGCUUGGUUAGUCCUGCCUGACUGAGCGUUGAGACGGGGAGGGUCCCACACACGCUGCCCGUCUCAUUCUCCCACGUCCGCCCCCACUGCCUAGCGUUUGAGCCAGCAGCCCCAUCCCCAGCAAGGCCCCUGCCGAGCCCCCGCUGAGCCGGGCACCUACUUGAUGUGUUUGGCGCUCUUGUAGUGGAUGAAGAUGACAAUGGGGUAGAUGUGCAUGUGGUGCAGCCGCUCGAUGGCAUGGGGGGAGAUGUCCAGGAGACAGUGCCGGUUCUGAGGGGGGGAGGGGGAAGAGUAAGUGCCCCGGGACAGGCAGGGGGCGGUGGGCUGGGCCUCAGAAACACUGACACCCUUCUGAGGACACCUCCUGCCUUUCUCUGCCACUGCUGGGUCCCACCUCUCCCACACCGCUCUCCCUCACUCCAUACACAAACACGAAGGUCUUACCCGUGAACCAGGCAGCAUGACCAGUCUUCCACGAAGACCACGUAGGAAAAACCGUGGGGAGCUUUACCCCAGAAAAUCUCUCCCCCACAAGCUGUCAACUCUGAUGGUGGUCAAGGCUCGGAGCCAGGGUGGAGUGGGGUCUGGACGGCCCACUUCCAAACCUUCUGUCCUUCCUCUGCCCAGAUAACUUUCUUAAAGCCCACCCCCAGCCGGGCCUCAGAAGCCUCACUUCUGCCAGACUGAGCAAAAGAAGACAUGGAGAUUCAGCAGAGCCUGCCCCGGGGAAGGGGAGUGCGUGUCUUUGAGUGGCUGUGACUGAAACGUGCUCCGGGGUUCCCUGAGACUGCGGGUAGAGUGUGAGCCAAGGAAAGACCACGGGCCCUCUGCACGUGGCUCUCCCCGAUGCCCACAAGCUGCAGAGAGGGAGCCCAACGUCAGCCAGCUUUCCACCUUCCUGGAGCACCCCUAACUGGAGCACAUCCACCUCCUUCACUCAGUGAGGAGGACACCAAGGAGUAGCCACACCUUCAACAGCUGCUUUUCCAAUAUCCCUUCCAGAUUUCCCCACUUUUCCUCAUGCUGCCUGGCAAAUGGACCCCAGUACCUUCAAGAGCCUUAAAGACACACAGAAAUGGCUCUUAAUCCUUUCAGGGGCAGCGACCCUGAUGGAGGCUGGGCACCCUGUCCCCAGAACAAGGCACACAUAAACACGUCUGCACAUAAGCAGAGCAGAUGCAGGACCCUGCUGUAGAAUCCCCCGUGUGGGGCUUUCCUAGAGUUCAAAGCUCCCAUCAGAUCCCCUCAGAGGGACAGAGGUGACAUGUGCGCAGGGACUAGCAUCCUGUUGGUGACCGUGGAAGCACACAAAAGCAGUGGGGGCAACCCUCGAGGAGAGCAACUUGGACUAAAGGGACACAGGCAAGUUCACCGAAGGCCCAAGAAACACGCAAGGCAGAGAUCCAAAAGGGCCAGGCAUCCAAGCCCAAAUGCUCAAACCCUAACCCUUGGUCUGAGGCAACAGGUACCUUUUCUGUGAUCUCCUUUAUGGAAGCCACCGUGGUCACAUCAAAAUGGCCACUCCUCCGCUUAUAGUCGACGAACAGGCAGUCUUUGACGCCCCGCUCGAUGGCCUGCUGGGAGGCCUUCAUCACCUCUACAAAGCACAGACACGGGAAUGAGGAUGCCCCCUGGCAUGGUGAGCUGUCCCAGCACAUUGCAGAAGAGCAGUUCUGCCAUCCUUACUUCCAGAGAAAGAUCCGGAAGGCACACAGCAAUGUGACCCAAGUCAGGAGGACUCAGAAACACCGUGGAACGCAGCCCCAGGGGACAGGUGGACAUAGCCCAGUAGGCACAGAGGGUGCCCCUUACCAAGGGGCAUCUGCAGAACUUGCCGGGCGCCUCGUUCACCAGCAUCUCCUUCACCACGUCCAGUAAGGGCCCCAGAAUGAGGACGGGCCUCAGGGAGGUGCAGUCUACUUUCUGGACCCGCUGAUAGGCAAGGCUCACCGAAUCUGUGGGAGACAGGGGCAGUGUCACAGGCACGUGCCUGGAGCAGAGGGAGGGAGAGGGGCCGGGGACCCACUGCUGCCCUGACCUUUCUCAGCCCAGGCAGCUUUGCCCGCUUCAGUCCACACAUCCAGAGCCAGGUGGAGUGAGCAGCUCAGCACGGUUCGCCUGUUCAGUACUGGAGAGUCCCCUUGUCCUGGGCACACCAAGCUCACGGGCAGAAUUGAGGGGAAGUCUGUCCCCUCCCUCACCCACACCUCCACACCUCCAUACAUGAAGAUUAUCCAUGUAUAUCUACAUGGCUUCCUAUAGAGCAUUUCUCAACCUGGUGACCAGCUGACCUGUUCCGGUCAGCAGGGGAGGGUUUGGUGGCCACAAUGACCAUCUGGGAACUCCUAUGCAUUUCUGACUAAAGCCUCUGAGGAGUCCUGGGGCAAAGGAACUCCUCCACGAAAAGAUGAACACAUCUUCCCUUUCAAAAAUCAGAGCAUUACAGGUAGGGCGAAACAGCUCUGACACCCAUUCUCCAGUCCUGGUCCCCGCCAGCCUCCUCAUAACCACUAUUAUGAGCUGGAAGUACAUCCUUCCAGAUGUUUGUUGUUGUCACAUGUUGAUUUUUACAUACUCAAAAAAGACUAGUAAAUAUGCUGCGUGUGUGCAUGUGCCCAACAAAAAUGACACAACGCUAUAAACAUUCUGCACCUCCCUCUUCCAGUCAGUGUUAUGUUUCUGGAAGGCAUCCCUGUUAAAUUCAUACUGCCCUCCCACAUUCCUUCUGAACUUCCCAUGCAUGGAUACACUGCGUCUACACCUCCAUUUCCCUGUGUAUGGACAUCAACUCACUAUGCCUUCAACUUAUUUGAGCAAGAAUCAUAUUCUACCCUAAUGACUAUGAACAUUCCACACAGUGGGAUACCAAUUUAGAAGAUUCCUGUUCCUCCCUGAAUAAUCUGCUUUGUUGGAAGUCCUCACAAUUACAGAUUCAGAGAGCUAUAGAACAUCUCACAAGUCAUUAAAUCCAACCACAGAAAAUAUAAAACUCCCUGGGAAGAGAAAAGAUACAUAUAGAGAAUCUGGAAGUAACAUAAUGUAGGCAUGUAAAUCACUCUAAAUCUGGUGUAGAUAUUUAAAAACGAAAGCAUAAAAAUAAUUAUAAAUCUAUGCUAAUCUAUACACUGAUAGAAAAAGAGGUAAUAGGUGUCAUCAACAACAUAAAUGGGGUUGGGGCCACAGAGGUGUAACAUGGAAUUUUUGCAGGAGACUGAAAUUAAGUUACUAUCAGUUUAAAAUGGAUUGUUAUAACUUUAAGACUUUAAGGGGUUUUAUGUAAUUUCAACGGUAACCAAAAAGAAAAUCUCUUUAAAAUAUACAUGAAGGGAAAUGGGAAGGGAAUCAAAACCUGUCACUACCAAAAGCAAACAAAAAAAUCCAAAACCCACAAAGCAUACAACAGCGGGCAGCAAGGAAGAGAUGGACAAAAAUGGUAUAAGACACACAGAAAACAAUUCAAGUGGAAAUAAGUCCUCCCAUAUCAGUAAUUACAUGUGAAUGGAUGGGCUGAAUGGAUAAAUAAAUAAGAUCCAGCUACAUGCAGUUUGGGAGACUCACUUUAGUUCUAAGAAUACCCACCGGCUAAUAGUGAAAGAACAGAGAAAAGCUAUUUCGUGCAAUUGAGAAUGUAAAGAGAGCAAGGUAGUCAUGUUCCAGCAGCCUCCACAGACUCUCAGGCAGACGAUGUCACAAGAGACAAGGUAGGACAUCAUAUAAUGACAAAAGGGUGAAUUCUCCAGAAAGAUACAACAAUUAUAAACACACAUGCACCUAACAUCAGAACUCUCAAAUACAUGACACAAACAUUGACAGAACGGAAGGAAGAACCAGCAACACAAUAUUCAUAGGGACUUCAAAGCCCCACUUUUGUUAUGGACAAAACAGCCAGACAGAAAAUAAGGAAAGAGCAGCUGAACCACAAAGCACUACAUACCACGUGGUCCUAACAGACGGGCACAGAACACUCCAACCAGCAACAGCAGAAUACACACUCUUCUCAAGUGCACAGGGAGCAUUCUCCAGGAUAGACCACAAAAUUAAUUUAAGAAGACUGAAAUUAUAUAAAAUAUCUUUUCUGACAAUGGAAUGAAACUAGAAAUCAACAGCAGAAAGAAAAAAAAGGAAAAUAGACCCAUACUUGGAAAUGCAACAAGUCAUUCUUAACCCAAGGGUCAAAGAAACAAAUCAGAGAGGAAUUUAGAAAACUUUGGAGACAAAUGAAAACAACACAGCAUACCGACGCUUGCAGGAUGCAGAAAAGCAGUCCUAAGAGGGAAAUCUGUGGUAGUAAAUGCUGACAUUGAAAAAGAAGAAAUCAACAAUCCAGCUUCACGCUUUGAGGAAUCAGGGGGAGAAAAGAAAGAACUAACCCAAAUUUAGCAGAAGGAAGGGAAAAAUAGAGAGCAGAGAUAAAUCAGAGAACAGAAAACCAGAAAAAAAAUCAAUGAAACCAAGACUUGGCUUUUUAGUAAGGUCAACAAAAUUGACAAACUCUUAGCUAGAAUAAUGAAAAACAAAAGGGGGAAGCCUAACGUAACUGUAGUAAGUGAAGAAAGGGACAUAACUGAUUUCACAGAAAUAAAAAGGAUUAUAGGAAACUACUACGAAUAAUUAUAUGUAAACAAACUGGACAGCCUGGAAGAAAUGAUAAAUUCCCAGAAACAUAGAAUGUAUUAUGACUGUGUCAUGAAGUAAUUUUUAAAAAUCUGAACAGAGCUGUCACGACCAACUGGGAUUUAUCCCUGGAAUGCAAGGACGGCUCAACAUACAAAAAUCCAUCAAUGUCAUACACCGUAUUAACAAAAUGAAGGACAAAAACCACAUCACCUCAAUUGACACAGAAAAAGCUUUCGACAAAACUCAAUACCCUCUCAUGAUAAAAACACUUAACAAACUAGAACAGACAGAAACUACUUCAACAUAACAAAAGCCAUAUGAAAAGUCCAUAGCUGACACCAUAUUCAAUGGUAAAAGAUGGAAAACUCUCCCUCCAAGAGCAGAAACAAAGGCAAAGAUGCCCCCAUUUGCCACUACUAUCCAACAGGUUUACUGGGAAUCCCAGCCAGGGCAAUUAAACCAGGAAAGAAAGACAGCAUCCACGUUAGAAAACAAGUACUAAAAUUAUCUGUUCACAGAUGACACAAAAUUAUGCAACAAGUUCUAGAGAAUACACACACACACACACACACACACACACACACACACAAAACCUGUUACAACUAAUGAUUUCAGCAGUUUCAGAAUACAAAAUCAACAUACAAAAAUCAGUUGCAUUUCUAUAUGCUAACAAUGACCAUUCUGAAAAAGAAAUUAAGAAAACAAACCCGUUUACUAAAGCAUCACAAAGGAAAAAAUACUUGGGAACCAACCUAACCAAGGAGGUGAAAGACUUGUAAACUACAAACUAUACAAUAUUGCAAAAAGAAAUCAAAGAAGAUACAAAUACAUGGAAAGACAUCCUAUGCUCUGGACUGGAAGACUCAGUAUUGUUAAAAUGCCCAUACUACCUAAAUCAAUCUACAGAUUCAAUGCAAUCCUUCUGAAAAUCCCAAUGGCACUUUUUGCAGAAAGAAAAAAAAAACCCUGAAAUUCAUAUGGAAUCUCAAGGGACCC